AUGAGUUUUAUGUUGUGGCUUAAUCAUUUGAAUCAUUUGCAGCUGGAGAUGGGAAAUAAUCACGGAUGGUGCCCAACAUUCAGCAAUCUUAAAAACUUGACUCUUGAUAGUUGGUGCGUGCAUGCAGACUUCUAUGCGCUGAUAGUCUUCCUUCAGAACUCACCUAAUCUGAAGAAGCUAACUCUUAAACUAAACGAGCGACGAUAUCACAACGAGGUUGUAUCUGCAAUCAUCGGCGAGCUGGAGGAUAGAUCGUUUAUAUGUGAACAGCUCGAGAUUGUCGAAAUCAUAUGCUCGGAGGGAAAUGAGCUGCUGCUACUUGGGGUCAAUCAGUUUUUGCUAGAAGAGAGUGGCAUAAGGCCUGAUCAGAUGCGUGUCAGUCACCAGAACUAA
rnacentral:rRNA from 1 species